UAGGGUGGGUGAGGGUGUGGACAUGGGUGUAGUUAGGGGAGGGUAGGAAAUACAUAGUACACACUUUUAUAAUACUUGAUUAUCAUCUGUUCUUCAGGCUGGACUAGUUUGUCCUUCGUCACAAUAAACAAAAAAUACAUUUUAUAGUUAGGAAUUAAGUGAAAUUAAAUGAUGAAUCCAAAACUGACAAAGGCAAAUCUGUGUUCCACUUCCUGGUGCAUAAACACAAAUAACUAUACAAAUGCAUCAUGUCUAAAUCUCUAAACAGCAUUCAUCCAAACAGGCUAAAUAAUAAGCAGUGUCGAACAGGCAUUGCUUGGUUCACUUGGUAAUACAUGGUGUAACUAAUUUGUGUCUCAUUUCAUCAAACAAAUGCGUUUUAGUCUCUAAAUGUAUUAUCUAUAUAUAAACAGAUAUUUUCUGCACAGCGGGACAAUCAGGUUGAAAGAAACCCAAUGAAAGCCAAAUGAGUGCAUCUCCUGUGUGCCUGAGCUUCACACGGGCAAUUAGGUAAACAACAUUCAUAUGAGACUGAGGCUUUAAUUAUUGUGCUUCUUGCACGACUUGGUGUCUAGUUAGUGUUAUUUUGACUCAAGACUCUUUGCAUCUCUUUGUAGUAAUUGUGCGUAUCUUUGUAGUGGUUUUGAGUCUCUUUGUAGUAAUUGUGCGUAUCUUUGUAGUGGUUUUGAGUCUCUUUGUAGUAAUUGUGCGUAUCUUUGUAGUGGUUUUGAGUCUCUUUGUGGUCGUUUGAUUGACUUUCCAACAAGAAAUGUCAACAGUCACUUCAUACAGCUUCAUACAGACGUUCAGCCCAGGGGCCCAGGGCCUGCACGCAGUAGGUCUGUUCAAUAAUCCACCCAUGAUACUAACAAGCCAACUACCUAUCAACCUUCUGACUCUGGUGGUGGUGGUGGUGGGGGGCACCAGGGGUCGCCAAUCAGAUUCCAGGGGCCCGUGCCACCCUUGGCCACCCUUCUGGCCCCGCCCCUGCCUUGAGUGACCUUGUGCACAGAAACUGGUUGUAUGUGCAGGUGAAUGUAAACUGAUAACCAUGAACUCUUGUUUGUCCACAAUCUGCCAGCUGCUCCACAGCCAAGAAGGAAUGUAAAUUAUGUCUCAACUAUGUUGUUCUAUUAUAUGUUGACAGAUACACUAUAAAGACAUUUUGUUACUGCUUCUUCAUCUGCACCACGGUACCUCUACAAUCUGCUACAGAUGGUGUGUCUGCUGGGCUGGAAACACGAGGUGUGGUGGGUUUGAUGUUUCUACCAGUGGCCUGUUGCCACGCGAUGUGUGAGCCACGGGGGAGAGACUGACCGACGUCUGUCUGAAUAACUGUCCACAGGGAUAACUGUCUGACUGGGAGACAUUUUGAAGGACGGAGCUGACUGUUGGUCUGAUUGACUGAACAACGCUCUGCAGGAUGGACUGUCUGUGAACCUGAAUGACUGCUGAAGGAGUCAGAUUAGAUAGGAAGAUGAGAAGAAGUGAGGGAUAGGAGAAACAGGGAUGAGAAAGACAAAAAGAGAGAAGAAACUACAGCAGAAGCAAUUAAAAAAAGGAAAGCAGUGCAAAGCUGCUGUGGAGAAAUAAAAAGACAAGGAGAUAAACAGAGCUAAAGGCAAUGAAAGAGAGUGAUUGGAGUGAGGACAAAGAACAAAAGGGAAAAGGAGGACAGAGAGGAGUGUGUGGGAGCAGUGAAGAGCUUAGAGAAGAGAGCCCGAGCCCAUAACAACUGUCUACUGUCCUCCUGACACGCACCCCCACACCUCCCCCUCCACCUCCCCCAGCGCAGUCGAUAAACAGCCUGCAGCCACUGACCCACACCGACACAAGCAGUCCAGACACUGGCAGCCAGGAAAGGCUGUGGGAGCCGGGCCAAUCUGGUACAGCCAAAACAAGCCUCUCUGAACAAGGACAGGAGACAGGAACCUAAAAAUGUAAAAUAAAGAUAAGGAGGAGAGGGAUCGGAGCUGAAAGUUUCAAGAACGUCCUUGAAACAAAAAAAGAGCAGGAUCACUGAUCUAUGACAGCAUCUACUGCUGAUGCAUUUCACAUCUGAGGCACAGGUGUUAAGGAUGAGGACUGUGUGUAGGAACUUGCCUGUUUAAAUUAGCUCUUCAUCCACUUAAACUGAACACACCUCACCUACACAACUGCACUUCAUCGCUCCACUUCCCGGCGAGUCACUUCCCAAUGACUCAUCCAAGCUGGCCCUCCUGCUCCAAGGUUAAAUAUGGAAAGAGGAGCAGCCUUUUCCACCCAAAAAAAAAAAAAAAAAAAAGCUAACACUGACUAGAACACACCUGGGACCAGAAACAUACACGCUCUCAGCACACAGCUGUGUUAGAAAGCAGCUACAGAUGUCAAAACAUGUCCUCCCUCAAAGAAAUGCACGACAAACACUGUCUCCCUAUUCCCUCUCAUUAAGUCUGGCACAUCUGAGAAAUGGGUGUUAUGUGUUGGCAACAAAAUACCACCCAUCACACGUCCCACACAGUCCACAUCGGAGAGGACUGUGAAGACACACUUGCUGUCCAUCAGCUGAGAGCUGUUGCUCAUAAGGCAACACAAGGUGACAGAACCUGCACAGUCAUGCUACGUCAGUGAAUCACCGGAUCCAAACCUCCAAUCAAUCACAGAUCAUGCUGCCAACUCUUCUCUCUCUUCCCUGUGGUUCUUCCCGGACUACCUGUGCUGCUCACUCCUUCCUGCUACAUACUGCUACUGGCUGCUAGCGCUGCUUUCUCUCUCCAACACCUGCAGCUGUCUGGUUCCUUAUAAAUAAUACUUUAAUUACCAAUGACAUGCUGCAUAUCGGCUGGUGUUUGUUGGCCUGCCCCAUGCCUGUUCACUGCACUCCAGGUUGAGUUUCCCUAUAACCUUUUUAUACAACAAGAGUUUUACCUUCAUGAAACAAGUGUUUUGACUUUUCAUCUAGCAGCUGCACACUGCAUCUCCAAACACACAGGAAUACAAACACAAGUGAGGCAUUUGUUAUCUCAUUUCAGUUAUUAUAUGGACACUAACUGAUCUAAAAGAACUGCAGAAACAAAAGAUCACUUUCUUGAUGAACGCUGUAGCACAUUUUGUCUUUAUUGCACUCUGAAUUAUCUGGCCAUUUACCAUGCGGAUGCCUGAGGAAUUUUCACUUGCUUAUUUUUACAGCGACUCUUAGUGCACUGUAAGCCACUCUGAAUAUCUGCUAAAUGCCUGACUAAAACUGUAAAUUGUAAUAUCUCCCUCCUUUAUUUCUACGUUAACCGGCUUGCUGACAAAGAUUUAUCAUACCGUCCACUGACUGGAAGAACUUAAGAUCACGAUGGUAUUGUUAAAGUGCUUCUACAGUAAAAAAAUAAAUCAAAAAUAAAUUUAAAAAAAAAUCAAAAGAAGUCUUCCCAAAACUUCCGAGAGUGAGCACUGAGUUCUCUGAGAGGUGUUAAUCAGACAAUUUGACUCUAUUUGGUACAGUGAUGUACAUACAGCUGACAGAUCAAUACAGUUUUAGGCUAGCGAAGUUCAGGCAGCAUCAUCCUGCCACAGCCACCUCACAUAUUUCAAGUGAAUAUUUCUUUUCCGGGCGGCUGCUUUCUUUGCACUACUAAACUCCUCUAAUAUAUGACCAGUGUUUGUCCUGCACUGGCCUCCAAGGCAUCCAGUAUUUUCUCAGCUGGUGCUGGAGUGUGGUACUAUGAGGGAUGAGGGACUUGCCUGUCUCUUUAUUAUGCCCCAUUUUAACCAUCAACUUCAUACAGAAUUUUCAUUUGAACUGCUAAACCGCACAGGUAAGGUAAGGUAACAGACAGCAGUCGGAGAAAAGAAAAAGGGUGAAACACAACCUCACUGGAAAAUUCUAUAAUGAAGACAAACAGACUUUAUUGACCUCAUUUAAGGUGAGCCAUGACUUGGCAGUGCCCUGAAGUGACCAGAUUCCAGUCAGAGUCUUGGAAACAGGAUUUUCGGUGUGUGUGUGACAUCAAAAGGGAGAGAAAGGCCAUAGUGGACUGGCUGCUGCCCUGAAAUCCAAAGAUGAAAGAGCUGCUGUGCUGGCCUCACACUGCGAGUAACUGCUGUGUGUGUGUGUGUGUGUGUGUGUGUGUGUGUGUAGGAUGGAAGAGUAUUGAAAUGGAUGUACAGGAAGAGACAAGCUGAGGUGAGAAAAGGACAGGAGGGGUGCUGGGGAAAAUAAGGCCGGACGGGGCCACCAGGAGCUUGUCUCCGAGUUUUGCGGAGGUGGAUGGAGCAUGGCAUCACAGUGAUCUACUCUACAGUAAGCUGUGAUGGGGAUUGACAUCGAUGGUGGGGAGAGGAUGUGGUUGUAACAGUGUUAGAUGGCCGCUGUGGUGGGGCUAAAGAAAUCAAUAUCCUUUUAGUUUCCAACCAAUAUUUCUCUCAGAUAAAAGUAGAAGAGGAAAAAUCUAGAAAGAGGCUGUGGCUCCUGUGAAAUAUGGCUUCUAUCCGGGCCACAGCGUGGUAGUGAAGCACAGAGGGACAUACUGUAAAUAUGAGAGGAAUAUACCAAUAAAAGACAUUCUGUGGUAGUCCAUAUAAUUAAAAAGGUAACAUUCCCUAUACAUUUGUCAUUUCUUUAACAAAUUUGGCAACAUUCCUUUUAAAUGUUAUGUAUAUUAGUUGCACUUGUCUCUAUGUAAUAAUAGAGAGGAGGUCUGCAGGUGCCACCCAGCUUUGACCUUGACAGUGACACAUGGUGCAAUCAAAAAUCAAUCCACAGCUCCACCUUGUGGGCAUAGUCGUGUUCUGCAAGAGGGAGUACACAAUUGUUGGGAUUCAUCAAAUGUCAGCAGCCAGAAGUCCUCAAGUGCAGUCUGUACUGUUGUUCAUAUCACCCAAAAUGACAUUUCUAUAAGUUAACCACAAGAUUCUCACUAAAGCACAGUAGUUGCUGGAUUUUUGGAGAUGAAACAUGUUCACUUGAGUGAGCUCAUCACAAACGUACCUAUGUGGCAUCAGAUAUAUAGGUAAUCCAAACUGGUUCUACUUCCUCCACGACUAAUUUUAGAUCACGGCCCAGUGGAAGAGAGGAAGGAAGGAAGGAGGGAGGCGAAAGAGGUGCCAAAAGAGGAAGAGACAGAGAAGGUCACAGUAGUAGCUGUUCUACCACGGUGAGUAAGUGUGUGUGUGUGUGUGUGUGUGUGUGUAUCAGUAUGAGCAGGAGGGUCUGGAUAGGACAAAGAGGACGCGCCUGCCCACACAGAUGACCAGAGAGAGAGUAUGCCAGCGAGUCAGUGGCUGCCAAAUAAUCCAACGACAGCAAGACCGCCAGCCGGAAAGUCAGCCAGCUACCCACACACACACACACACACACACACACACACACACACACACACACACACACACAGUCAGUCAUCCAGACACAGCCAACGAUCGAUGCUUGCAAGAUGUGUUACUUUUUGCUGCCAAUACCAGCAGGCCAGCAGGCAGACCGAGAGCAUGAAGACACUUCAGAGCUGCCUUACUUGGCCUUUAGCUCUAUCAGAGAAACACUGAACAACAUGACUUUUACCUUGCUAACUAAAGCAUGGCCAGUGUUACUCUAUAGACUUUUGAUUUGACACCUCUGUCAAAUAACCCCUCUUUUCCUUUUACUUUCUUACCAUGGAAACUGAAGAUUAUUCAUUUAGUAGGAGACAUAUAUGUUAAACUUUUUCAGUGGUGUUCAGCAAAUACAAUAAAAAAUACAAUUGCCCUAAAAGUCAUCUUUUUCAGUUAUCUUUAAGUAAAAAAUUAUGUCAAACAGCACUUGUGUCACUUCGGAACCUGACAAAUUAGAUGUUAAACUCCAAAAUCUUAAACUCACCCUCCAUGGAGAAAAAUGAAAAAUAUUUCAAGACACCUAGGCCGAGAUAGUUUAUACACAAAUGCUAAAUAAAUGCUAGGCAGUGCUUAAUCCAAUUUAAGAUGUUACACAGGUUAAACCAUUCCAAAAGUAAAACUUCACAGCAUCUUCCCGGAGGUGUCUGCAUAAUGUGAGAAAAAGUAAAUCUGCCAAAGGCACUUUAUAGUAGAUCUAUGUAACUUUGGAAGGAAAAACUAACAAAGUUGAAUUCAUAAGAAAUAAAACGCACCCAUACUGAAUUCAAUACUGUCAGGGGUCUGGGAUGACCAGUAGCGUAUGGUGGCUAAAGCAAUAUUAAGCUAGGUAUUAUCACGGAGUUGGUUUACUGACUCUGUGGCUCUUCUAUAUAUGCGCUACUGUUAAACUACUUUGUAGCAUUUACCACUGGUGGCCACAGUUGUUCCUGUGGUUACCUAGCUGGUUAACUACAAUUUCGUCGGGGGGGGCACAGCGUCAAACUUUGAAAACCCCUAGUCUGUGGAUGCUGGGUAGGGCAGAAGGGUUCCUUUUUUUCUUUCUUAACUUUAUGUAAUUGAUGUACUUUUCAGUUUAUUUUGUCAGCUUGAACACACUUCACUAUACUUUCUAACUUUUAGUGGGUUCAUCAUAUUCUGCUGCACUGGCUUUAUUUUAUGGAAAUUUGAAGCAGACAACUGUGUGAACACUGUCAAAGCUUCAAUAAAAAUAUGUAUGAUAAAAAUACAUAUGAUUUCAGUUUUGAUGUAAAUGAAUAGCCAGGCAAAUUCUAUGCCAGUAAUAUUCUGCAGUGAAAACCCUCUGUUGUGUUUAAUGGCUUUGAUUAUUUGUCAGGACAUGUGAAUCUAAUAGGCUUUUGAAACAUCUGGUGCUAGAUCGGAUUCUUUAUAUAUCCAAAAGUAAAAGAGAGGCAUCUGAAAGUAGUUUCUCUUCAGAGCACUCGUCUUCAUCAGGGUUAUACUAGCUAUUUGCUGCUUGCUUUGCUAUUACUAUACACCUCCCAGAACCAUUUAUUUGGAUAAUAUCCUCAUUGAGACGUGCGUGCCGAGCACCAAAAUAGGCUUGUAAUUAAAGGAUGCCGGGGAUUCUGGAGAAAAAAUAAAGAGAAGCCGAGUGAGUUAUUAAGGUCCUUCCUGUGGUUUAAAAAUCAAAACGGCACCAGGAUGCUGCCUCCUUCUAUAUAACUACCACGUAACACACACACACACACACACAGACGACAAGAGAGAGAGAGAUAGGAGUGUGCAGGCAGACGCACACUUUCACACACAGACAGAUAAACACACACACACAAACAACGCCUCCACAGACACAUACAGAGUGGCACACGGGUGAGGUAAUGUUCCCUCCCUUCUGCCUUCCAAGCACAUUUCCUCUGCCUGGAAUAAUUGCUGCCUGGCUGCUUGUCUGGGAGAGCGAGCUGCUCCGUUCAUUAGUUGCUCUAAACAUCGGACACGGCAUCACUUUUAAAGGCUUAAUUUCACUGCAGUCACAGUCCCGCUCUCUGAUGCUCGCCCGUCGGGAGCCGCAGAAUAGGCUCCUGUUCUUGCAGGCAUGACCUAAAUAGAUAAGCAGCAAAUGAACGGGGCCCUUUCUUCUGGCAACCGCGGAGAAAUUAGCGGACAGAGAUGAGAGCAGACGAAAGGGGAACGCUUGUGGUGGGAGGGCGUCUAAACUCAAGUGGAGCAGCAGUGACAGCGAUGGAGGCAGCAGUAUCCAUUUCCCCCCCCCCCACCAAAAGCGGCAAAACAAGAUGUCCGUUUCCAUGGAGACCAGCAAACAGUCAUAUUCCCUUGGGGACCACUGGGCUUCCUGCGGUGCUUAGUGAUUGGCUCAUUCAGAUGCUGCAGACACAGCACCUAAGGGAGAUGGCUCAUACUGCUGGUCUUAGAGCUUCCUGGACAGGAUGUCUACGGCUGACUGGACCAGACCUGAAGUCUCUUCAGACACAAACAACAUGCCUCUAACCUCCAGCUUGUCUCUAUUUCUAAUGUGACAGUAGUGAAGCUGAGAGGGAGUUUUUUAUACUUACUAAAGUACAGUAUAUGCUAUGUUUAAAGCAGCUUACUUAGGCUACUUUUUAAAGCCAAGUUUGAACAGCAUUGUCCUGGAUGGUCAGAUUUUUUACUGUCCCCUCUUUUAGUUAUGUAGGAUGUUUAUUAGACAGUGAUCUGAGUGGAGAGAGUACGGCAUUGAAGACCCUGGGAAAAUUAAACAAUGGGACUAGGUUUUCGGCUAGAAAAGCUAAUAAACAUGAUAAAAGAAGUCCUUGUUUUGAGCUGCUUUAACUACUCGAUCUGGGAAAAACACAUUUGGGGUUGAUUUUAUUGAUGGAAAUUGAGAUAUUUCUUGUGCUGGUUUGUUGGUAGUAUGACGACACCUUGUGACCUGGACUCCUGCAUCCCUGCUGCCUUUGCAUCAAGGACCACAAAGGAAAUAAAUCUUGGACUUUGUUGUGUCGUUGACAUUUUUGUAGUUGUGUGUGAAUUGAUGUCCUCCUUCUCAUAAUGUCAACUAAACUAAACCUCCAUUGCCUGAAAUCAUUCAGUGCAUUCUGUGUUUACAGUUUUUAAAGCACAAUAGAGAGAACAUACAUGUUCUCUGGGUUAAUGCAAAAGAAGAAAUCAUUUCACAGUCUCACAAGAAGUUCCUCAUCACACAGUGAACAAUGGGGGAAAAAAAGCUAUAAUUGUGAACAAUAUGUCCUUGCUUUUGACUAUAUGUGAAACACACACAUCACUUCCUAAAAUAAAAGGCAUGUUCUAUUGUGCUUGGAAAUUAC